AUUCUACUACCUCCGUUGCACAAUACAUGCCUUCUAUUUGUCAAAAUAUAUAUGUAUCUAGACAUGUCUUAGUAUAUAGGUACAUCCAUUUUUGGACAAAUGGAAGUCAAGUAUUUUGGAACGGAGGGAGUACACA
rnacentral:pre_miRNA from 1 species